rnacentral:rRNA from 1 species
GGCCUACACAUGCAAGUCGAGCGGUAGCACAGAGAGCUUGCUCUCGGGUGACGAGCGGCGGACGGGUGAGUAAUGUCUGGGAAACUGCCUGAUGGAGGGGGAUAACUACUGGAAACGGUAGCUAAUACCGCAUAACGUCGCAAGACCAAAGUGGGGGACCUUCGGGCCUCAUGCCAUCAGAUGUGCCCAGAUGGGAUUAGCUAGUAGGUGGGGUAACGGCUCACCUAGGCGACGAUCCCUAGCUGGUCUGAGAGGAUGACCAGCCACACUGGAACUGAGACACGGUCCAGACUCCUACGGGAGGCAGCAGUGGGGAAUAUUGCACAAUGGGCGCAAGCCUGAUGCAGCCAUGCCGCGUGUGUGAAGAAGGCCUUCGGGUUGUAAAGCACUUUCAGCGGGGAGGAAGGCGGUGAGGUUAAUAACCUUGUCGAUUGACGUUACCCGCAGAAGAAGCACCGGCUAACUCCGUGCCAGCAGCCGCGGUAAUACGGAGGGUGCAAGCGUUAAUCGGAAUUACUGGGCGUAAAGCGCACGCAGGCGGUCUGUCAAGUCGGAUGUGAAAUCCCCGGGCUCAACCUGGGAACUGCAUUCGAAACUGGCAGGCUAGAGUCUUGUAGAGGGGGGUAGAAUUCCAGGUGUAGCGGUGAAAUGCGUAGAGAUCUGGAGGAAUACCGGUGGCGAAGGCGGCCCCCUGGACAAAGACUGACGCUCAGGUGCGAAAGCGUGGGGAGCAAACAGGAUUAGAUACCCUGGUAGUCCACGCCGUAAACGAUGUCGAUUUGGAGGUUGUGCCCUUGAGGCGUGGCUUCCGGAGCUAACGCGUUAAAUCGACCGCCUGGGGAGUACGGCCGCAAGGUUAAAACUCAAAUGAAUUGACGGGGGCCCGCACAAGCGGUGGAGCAUGUGGUUUAAUUCGAUGCAACGCGAAGAACCUUACCUGGUCUUGACAUCCACAGAACUUUCCAGAGAUGGAUUGGUGCCUUCGGGAACUGUGAGACAGGUGCUGCAUGGCUGUCGUCAGCUCGUGUUGUGAAAUGUUGGGUUAAGUCCCGCAACGAGCGCAACCCUUAUCCUUUGUUGCCAGCGGUUAGGCCGGGAACUCAAAGGAGACUGCCAGUGAUAAACUGGAGGAAGGUGGGGAUGACGUCAAGUCAUCAUGGCCCUUACGACCAGGGCUACACACGUGCUACAAUGGCAUAUACAAAGAGAAGCGACCUCGCGAGAGCAAGCGGACCUCAUAAAGUAUGUCGUAGUCCGGAUUGGAGUCUGCAACUCGACUCCAUGAAGUCGGAAUCGCUAGUAAUCGUAGAUCAGAAUGCUACGGUGAAUACGUUCCCGGGCCUUGUACACACCGCCCGUCACACCAUGGGAGUGGGUUGCAAAAGAAGUAGGUAGCUUAACCUUCGGGAGGGCGCUACCACUUUG